rnacentral:rRNA from 1 species
GAUGAACGCUGGCGGCGUGCCUAAUACAUGCAAGUCGAGCGAACAGACGAGGAGCUUGCUCCUCUGACGUUAGCGGCGGACGGGUGAGUAACACGUGGAUAACCUACCUAUAAGACUGGGAUAACUUCGGGAAACCGGAGCUAAUACCGGAUAAUAUAUUGAACCGCAUGGUUCAAUAGUGAAAGACGGUUUUGCUGUCACUUAUAGAUGGAUCCGCGCCGCAUUAGCUAGUUGGUAAGGUAACGGCUUACCAAGGCAACGAUGCGUAGCCGACCUGAGAGGGUGAUCGGCCACACUGGAACUGAGACACGGUCCAGACUCCUACGGGAGGCAGCAGUAGGGAAUCUUGCGCAAAGGGCGAAAGCUUGACGGAGCAACGCCGCGUGAGUGAUGAAGGUCUUCGGAUCGUAAAACUCUGUUAUUAGGGAAGAACAAAUGUGUAAGUAACUAUGCACGUCUUGACGGUACCUAAUCAGAAAGCCACGGCUAACUACGUG